rnacentral:precursor_RNA from 10 species
CAGAAUUGCAGCGAGCAACAUUUUUCUGCGAGGCGAGCCUAAACGAUUCCGCUUUUGUUCAAUUUCAAUGUUAAAGUGCCGAUUCGUUAGGGCUUGCCACGUAGGGAGGUGACUUUGAACAAAACAAAGG